rnacentral:rRNA from 1 species
UACGUAUGGUGCAGGCGUUAUCCGGAUUUACUGGGUGUAAAGGGAGCGUAGGCGGCGCGUUAAGUCUGAUGUGAAAACCCGAGGCUCAACCACGGGAGUGCAUUGGAAACUGGCGGGCUGGAGUGCCGGAGAGGUAAGCGGAAUUCCUAGUGUAGCGGUGAAAUGCGUAGAUAUUAGGAGGAACACCAGUGGCGAAGGCGGCUUACUGGACGGCAACUGACGCUGAGGCUCGAAAGCGUGGGGAGCAAACAGG